rnacentral:misc_RNA from 1 species
GAUGAAGAACUUAGCGAAAUGCGAUAAGUAAUGAGAAUUGCAGAAUUCAGUGGAUCAUCGAAUCUUUGAACGCACAUUGCGCCCCUUGGUAUUCCGAGGGGCAUGCCUGUUCGAGCGUCAUUUCAACCCUCAAGCUCUGCUUGGUCUUGGGCCUGGCCGUGAUGGCCGGUCUUAAAAUCAGUGGCGGUGCCGUCGCAGGCUCCAAGCGUAGUACAUCUCUCGCUCUGGAAACUUGGCGGUGCCUGCCAGACAACCCCUAAUUGUCUCUUUCGGUUGACCUCGGAUCAGGUAGGGAUACCCGCUGAACUUAAGCAUAUCAAUAAGCGGAGGA